rnacentral:rRNA from 1 species
UCCUAAAGAGUAACGGAGGAGCACGAAGGUUGGCUAAUCCUGGUCGGACAUCAGGAGGUUAGUGCAAUGGCAUAAGCCAGCUUGACUGCGAGCGUGACGGCGCGAGCAGGUGCGAAAGCAGGUCAUAGUGAUCCGGUGGUUCUGAAUGGAAGGGCCAUCGCUCAACGGAUAAAAGGUACUCCGGGGAUAACAGGCUGAUACCGCCCAAGAGUUCAUAUCGACGGCGGUGUUUGGCACCUCGAUGUCGGCUCAUCACAUCCUGGGGCUGAAGUAGGUCCCAAGGGUAUGGCUGUUCGCCAUUUAAAGUGGUACGCGAGCUGGGUUUAGAACGUCGUGAGACAGUUCGGUCCCUAUCUGCCGUGGGCGCUGGAGAAUUGAGGGGGGCUGCUCCUAGUACGAGAGGACCGGAGUGGACGCAUCACUGGUGUUCGGGUUGUCAUGCCAAUGGCACUGCCCGGUAGCUAAAUGCGGAAGAGAUAAGUGCUGAAAGCAUCUAAGCACGAAACUUGCCCCGAGAUGAGUUCUCCCUGACUCCUUGAGAGUCCUGAAGGAACGUUGAAGACGACGACGUUGAUAGGCCGGGUGUGUAAGCGCAGCGAUGCGUUGAGCUAACCGGUACUAAUGAACCGUGAGGCUUAACCUUACAACGCCGAAG